rnacentral:rRNA from 1 species
CACAUGCAAGUCGAACGAUGAACACUUCGGUGGGGAUUAGUGGCGAACGGGUGAGUAACACGUGGGCAAUCUGCCCUGCACUCUGGGACAAGCCCUGGAAACGGGGUCUAAUACCGGAUACUGAUCUACUUGGGCAUCCAAGUGGUUCGAAAGCUCCGGCGGUGCAGGAUGAGCCCGCGGCCUAUCAGCUUGUUGGUGAGGUAACGGCUCACCAAGGCGACGACGGGUAGCCGGCCUGAGAGGGCGACCGGCCACACUGGGACUGAGACACGGCCCAGACUCCUACGGGAGGCAGCAGUGGGGAAUAUUGCACAAUGGGCGAAAGCCUGAUGCAGCGACGCCGCGUGAGGGAUGACGGCCUUCGGGUUGUAAACCUCUUUCAGCAGGGAAGAAGCGAAAGUGACGGUACCUGCAGAAGAAGCGCCGGCUAACUACGUGCCAGCAGCCGCGGUAAUACGUAGGGCGCAAGCGUUGUCCGGAAUUAUUGGGCGUAAAGAGCUCGUAGGCGGCUUGUCGCGUCGGUUGUGAAAGCCCGGGGCUUAACCCCGGGUCUGCAGUCGAUACGGGCAGGCUAGAGUUCGGUAGGGGAGAUCGGAAUUCCUGGUGUAGCGGUGAAAUGCGCAGAUAUCAGGAGGAACACCGGUGGCGAAGGCGGAUCUCUGGGCCGAUACUGACGCUGAGGAGCGAAAGCGUGGGGAGCGAACAGGAUUAGAUACCCUGGUAGUCCACGCCGUAAACGGUGGGCACUAGGUGUGGGGCAACAUUCCACGUUGUCCGUGC